AACAUGGUAUCUGCUGUGGAGCAAUAAAAUGAAUAUGGCUGUCAAUACCGCCCGCAGUCACAAUUAGAUUUUCUCCCGCCAGAGCCUCCGUUGAAGCACCGAUUGUCAUUCCAGGCGUUACACCAUCCAUCAAAUCUGGAUUCCCCGCUUUUCCUAUUCCAACAAUUUUACCAUCCUUGAUACCGAUAUCUGCUUUGAUGAUACCAGUAUAAUCAAGGAUCAGACAGUUUGUGAUGACCAGAUCCAACACUCCGUCUUUACUGCACGCUUUCACAGACUGUCCCAUACCAUCCCGGAU
rnacentral:sRNA from 1 species